AAAGGAAUUGACGGGGACCCGCACAAGCAGCGGAGCAUGUGGUUUAAUUCGAAGCAACGCGAAGAACCUUACCAGGGCUUGACAUCCCUCUGACCGCUUCUUAAUCGAAGCUUCCCUUCGGGGCAGAGGUGACAGGUGGUGCAUGGUUGUCGUCAGCUCGUGUCGUGAGAUGUUGGGUUAAGUCCCGCAACGAGCGCAACCCUUGUCAUUAGUUGCCAUCAGUUCGGCUGGGCACUCUAAUGAGACCGCCGGGGAUAACUCGGAGGAAGGUGGGGAUGACGUCAAAUCAUCAUGCCCCUUAUGUCCUGGGCUACACACGUGCUACAAUGGCCGGUACAAAGAGAAGCGAACUCGUGAGUGUAAGCAAAACUCAAAAACCGGCCCCAGUUCAGAUUGCAGGCUGAAACCCGCCUGCAUGAAGUCGGAGUUGCUAGUAAUCGUGAAUCAGAAUGUCACGGUGAAUGCGUUCCCGGGUCUUGUACACACCGCCCGU
rnacentral:rRNA from 1 species